rnacentral:lncRNA from 1 species
GAGGUUCUGAUUUAGCCACGCAAUCGCCUGACCUCUACCAGUAUCCACUCAGGUAGGAUCUGGAUCAUCUUCUCCUCAUGAAUCUCUACUCUAAAAAUUAAAACUAAAUCUGAUUAGGAAGAUCUCCAAAAGUCUUCCUAAAGUUAGAGCAGCAGCCUGUCGAAGAAGUCCUACGGCCUUUCUGUUCAAGGCGUCACCACGCCUUAGACCUUUUCCAGAUGGACGUCCAACUCCUUGGAUGUGAAGA